UAAACUACUCCUCCGUUCCAAAUUACUUGUCGAAGAAAUGGAUGUAUCUAGAACUAAAAUACAUCUAGAUACAUCCAUACCCGCGACAAGUAAUUCGGAACGGAGGGAGAGGGCG
rfam:Triticum urartu cultivar G1812 contig61883, whole genome shotgun sequence.